CAGCCGCCGCGGUAAUACGAAGGUCCCAAGCGUUGUUCGGAAUCACUGGGCGUAAAGGGAGCGUAGGCGGCGUGGUAAGUCAGAUGUGAAAUCCCGGGGCUCAACCCCGGAACUGCAUCCGAUACUGCCAUGCUUGAGGGUUGGAGAGGUAGCUGGAAUUCUCGGUGUAGCAGUGAAAUGCGUGGAUAUCGAGAGGAACACUCGUGGCGAGGGCGAGCUACUGGACAACAUCUGACGCUGAGGCUCGAAGGCUAGGGUAGCGAAAGGGAUUAGAUACCCCAGUAGUCCCUGUCUCUUAUAC
rnacentral:rRNA from 1 species